UGGUUCUGGCAUCGAUGAAGAACGCAGCGAAAUGCGAUAAGUAAUGCGAAUUGCAGAAUUCCAGUGAGUCAUCGAAUCUUUGAACGCACAUUGCGCCCUUUGGCAUUCCGAAGGGCAUGCCUGUUCGAGCGUCAUUAUCACCCCUCAAGCCCCGGUGCUUGGUGUUGGACGGUCUGGUCGCGCUGACGUGACCCCUCCUAAAGACAAUGACGGCGGCCUGUGGUUCCCCCGGUACACUGAGCUUUUCAUCGAGCACGUACCGGACGAGGGCGCCCGGGACCCGGUCUUCUCCUCUUCACCGAGGAACUUUUAUCAUCAGGUUGACCUCGGAUCAGGUAGGAAUACGCGCUGA
rnacentral:misc_RNA from 1 species